CUGAAUCUUACUUUAAGAACUGAAAAGAUAAUAACAAGUUAAAAUAAAAAAAAAAUUAUAAAUACACUAAAUUUGGUUUAUGUAUUGAACCAAAUUAAUACAAAAGUUGUGUGUUGUGAUCUUAUGACAAAUCUGGAAUUGUUCUUCUCACAUAGAUAUCGUAUUGAGCAUAUUCUGAUUAAAACACAAUCGAUCGAGAUGCAUUGUAUAUCACACAGAGAACACAGAUUCGAAAUGCACAAGCUAGCAUAAGUACCAAGCAAAUACCCAACAAAAAGAAUCGCAUCAGCCACAAUAAUUGGUAAUUUCAAG
rnacentral:misc_RNA from 1 species